CUGGGAAGGUCUCGGUUCACAUUCCCCUCAAUCCUACAAACUGCUCACAAGCUUUUAGACACAGCCCUGCAGUCUGCACUGCUCAGAGCAGGACCAAGAUCUCCCCCUCCAAAACCUGCAGCAACCACUGCCCUCGCAGCCAAAGGGAUUUUCCCCAAUAAUCAAUGACCAAAAACCAGCACAUAAAGUUUGGGAGUCUCUCCUGCAGCAGCACAAUCCCAGACCACACACCCCAAACAGCUCCCACAGACAGAUGGAUUUUCUCCUGAGACAAGGAUGAGAAGUUUUACCCUCCCCAGUAUGACUGUCCUGGGGGGCUACCCUGUUUUCCCUGGGGAUGCUCCUGGUGUGCUGCACAGUGUGUGGCACAGCCCUGCCACGCACGCAUUUCUAAAUGAGCAGAUAAAUCAGUUGUUUUCCACUUGCACCAGCGUGAAAACCCUUCCCCGAGUCAGCAGUCACACAGACUCUCCCCCUCCUACCCCCUCAAACCAACCUGACUAAUAACACAACAUAUUUUUUUAGCAUUUACAGCAUAACAGGAGAGUUCAGGACUGACAGAAAACACAGUUAACGUGCACAGAGGCCUGAGCCUGCCCAGAUCAACAGAGAUUUGGAUUGUCUUCCACAAGAGCAUCCAAGGAAAUGUGAAUCCCCCAAACAGCCACCCCUAAGGUUAAACCACUCCAGUGAGGCAAGAGAGGCAUUUUCUGCUGGGAUGCCCAAACAGCUGCUCUGGACCCAACCAAAAGAAGCUGGCUCGAUUUGGAAUCAGGACCUGCUCCGGGACACACUGCAGAAGCCAAAGGAAUUUUGCCCCAGAGAAGGCAGCUGGAUGCAGUCCCACAUUUCCAGUCUCUUGAAGAUGCCAGAAGGAAGGAGAGAGAGACACAACAAGAUUUUGGGAGACAAGUCAGAGAUCCUGGAGCCUGGAAGUGGGGUUAGUCCCUGAACAGAGCCUUGCCAAGACUCUCAGCAUCCCUCAGCCACAUCCAAACCCCUCCAGCUGCUGAGAGGGGCUCCUGCUCCUCGGGGAGACCCUGCAUGAAGGAACCAGCAAAGCUCCAGGACAAGCCACUUCUGUCAGUGCUGCAGAUUCAAACUGCCUUGUUUUGUUUCCCAGCAGCAUUUAACAGGCUGCUGAUGUUUGUUUAUGAAGUGAGAUGCACAUGAUUUAUUUGAUCUGCUGGAGAGCUGCAUUCCCACGCCAAGGACAGGCAGAGAUGUUGCAUUCUCCCCUCUUUUGGGGACUGCUGAGAUCAAAUCCUCCCUUGCACAGGCAGAGCUGCACUCUCAGCUGCUUCAAAACUGGACAUUAAAUCCUUAUUAGAAACCUCCAAACUGUGAAGCUGCAUUUGUUCUUGCCUGUUUCUGCAUAUAGAACAAGUGUUAAUAGAGUGUUCAGGCUCUUAAAACAGGUUUGGGGAAAAGGUCUCAGGGCACCUGGGCUCUGGUCUGGAUCCAGCUUGAAUAAUCCUAAGGGAGGUUUCAUCCUCUCCUUGAGCUUUUCUGGUGGAUGGGGUUUGGCAUGUCUCACCUGGCUUGCAGGGACAGUGGUUUAAUGAACUGCUUUGCAAAAUGACUUUACAAAUGGAGAGUCUACUCCUGCCUCUUUUAACACCUGGAGAUCUCUUUAUUCCAGCUCAUCACCCAGAGCAGGGCCUGGCUGCCAAAGAAGGCAGCAAAGAAAGCAUUAAGGGAUGGAAGAUGAAACGCAGCCCAUGAGCUGUGAGAUUUACAGCUCUCAGUGGAAAGCACGGGAAGCAUCACCCAUCCUGCCAGUGGGGCAGGAGCCAAACCCUCACCUGAUGGGAGCCAGAGCAGCACAGGAACCCUGGCAGUGCCUGGGCAGCAGCUGAAGCUCACCCCACACUGCUCACCAUGGCUCAGACACCACCUGAUUUACACCAGGGCUCGAGGAUUGUGACUCAGUCACUCAGAGACAGCUCUUCUGCUGGCCUUCCCCUGGUCCCUGCAUACAAAACACUUUGCAAAUGAAGUGUGAAGAUAAUAUGCUUUAUCAUGGGCAUUUAUUACCCGUGAUUGUGGUAUAAAUCUCCCUCCAUUCACAUACAUAUACAUAAGGUGUAUAUAAAUAUGCAGUAUCCGGCAGUACCCAGAGCCUUUCUGAUGAUGUCAAUGUAGCCCCCAUAAAGAUAGUGGGAAAUGAUUCAUAAUAUUUAUAUGACAGACAUGAUAUGAACUGUAAUAGCCUGUUGGGAUCGAGAAUAUCCAUAGGUCUCUGUCAGCCACAAAUGUGAUUUAAAUAUUAUAUAUGUGGCAACUGUAGCAUUAGUAAUAUGAUAGCUGUUAUUGAUAGUGGUCAUAAAAUGCAGUAGUUUUGCACUGAAGAAUGUGAAAAAUAAUCUAGUGGUUUUCCUAAUGGUCUUCCCAGCAAUGCACUGAAAGGAAGUGUACUUUCAAUGCCUCCUUUUUGCCAUGCCUCCUCCUCUCCUCCCCCCACCCCAAAUUACCAUUGCAUUCUCUCAGAUUACUGCCAGGGCCAUAUUUUACUCUGCUGAUGUCAGGUUGUGGCAUCUCAUCCCCCUGGGGCUGUCUGGGGAGGGCAGAGGGUCCCUGCAGAGCCCUGGGCUGUUGUUGAGGCCGUGUGUGCUGGGAGGGUCCUGUUGGUGCUUCCUCUGAGAACACGGAGCAGGAGGAGGGCAAAAAGCAGCAGGAGAGGGGCUCAGGGGAGUCUUGCCACUCUGGGUGUGAAGUCUGGACCAUGGCAAAGGCUCCUCAGCCAGAAUAAAU
rnacentral:lncRNA from 1 species